ACACGGAGCUUGCUCUGUGGGAUCAGUGGCGAACGGGUGAGUAACACGUGAGCAACCUGCCCCUGACUCUGGGAUAAGCGCUGGAAACGGCGUCUAAUACUGGAUAUGUGACGUGACCGCAUGGUCUGCGUCUGGAAAGAAUUUCGGUUGGGGAUGGGCUCGCGGCCUAUCAGCUUGUUGGUGAGGUAAUGGCUCACCAAGGCGUCGACGGGUAGCCGGCCUGAGAGGGUGACCGGCCACACUGGGACUGAGACACGGCCCAGACUCCUACGGGAGGCAGCAGUGGGGAAUAUUGCACAAUGGGCGCAAGCCUGAUGCAGCAACGCCGCGUGAGGGACGACGGCCUUCGGGUUGUAAACCUCUUUUAGCAGGGAAGAAGCGAAAGUGACGGUACCUGCAGAAAAAGCGCCGGCUAACUACGUGCCAGCAGCCGCGGUAAUACGUAGGGCGCAAGCGUUAUCCGGAAUUAUUGGGCGUAAAGAGCUCGUAGGCGGUUUGUCGCGUCUGCUGUGAAAUCCGGAGGCUCAACCUCCGGCCUGCAGUGGGUACGGGCAGACUAGAGUGCGGUAGGGGAGAUUGGAAUUCCUGGUGUAGCGGUGGAAUGCGCAGAUAUCAGGAGGAACACCGAUGGCGAAGGCAGAUCUCUGGGCCGUAACUGACGCUGAGGAGCGAAAGGGUGGGGAGCAAACAGGCUUAGAUACCCUGGUAGUCCACCCCGUAAACGUUGGGAACUAGUUGUGGGGUCCAUUCCACGGAUUCCGUGACGCAGCUAACGCAUUAAGUUCCCCGCCUGGGGAGUACGGCCGCAAGGCUAAAACUCAAAGGAAUUGACGGGGACCCGCACAAGCGGCGGAGCAUGCGGGAUUAAUUCGAUGCAACGCGAAGAACCUUACCAAGGCUUGACAUAUACGGAGAAC
rnacentral:rRNA from 1 species